rnacentral:misc_RNA from 1 species
UCCGAUUUAGAACCGGCAGUCUCGUGAGAAAAAUACAACUCACGACAUGGGUUGCGCUCGUUUACGGACUUAACCGAACACCUCAAGGCACGAGCUGACGACAACCAUGCAGCACCUGUCACCGAGUUCCUUGCGGCACAACCACCUUUCGGCAGUCUUCUCGGGAUGUCAAGUCUUGGUGAGGUUUUCCGCUUAUUGUCGAAUUAAACCAGAUGCUCCACCGCUUGUGCGGGUCCCCGUCUAUUUCUUUGAGUUUUAAUCUUGCGAUCGUACUACCCAGGCGGAUCACUUAUCGCGUUAGCUUGGACGCCGAAGGGGUCGAAUCCUCCAACAUCGAGUGAUCAUAGUUUAGGGCGUGGACUAC